AAAGCAAUCUACGAAAACUCUUCCAUGAGAAAGUUAGUCUACGGUAUUUGAACCGAAUUUCUCUCAUCCUUCUUCCUCUCAGCUCAGGAAGACAGAGUCUCUUCUCUGACCGGCUGCAACCAAGAACCCUGAGUUCCUCUUUUCACAGCUCCCGUCGUCGGUCAGAGGAACCGGAAGUCAGCAUUUCCUAUCUUGCUUCUCGCGGCCGUGGGCUCAGGCUGGUGUGGGCAAACAAAAUCUCUGAGCUCUCACGUGGCUCUAAUCCAUUCUGAAUACCACAGUGGAAGAUCUGGCCAAAUUAUUUCCUUGGGGAACCUCCAAGAUAAGUAUUUUCAUUUUUCCUUUUAAAUUGGUGACAUUUAGCAAAAAUGACUCUUCUCAUCUCCUGCUUACAGAGGAAAGGCCUGGCUAUCAGGGCUCCCAGUGUGCAGCAGGAAAAGAUUGAUGAGCUUUCUUAAUUAUUAAUAGUAGGCAUACCUUAUCUUAGUCGACACUUUUGACCUCUCUUUCCCUGAUGGAAAUCCUUUCUUCCUUUGUCUUGAGGACCCGACUCUCUCCAGAUUUACCUCCCACUUCUCUGAUCAUCUUUUCACUGUCUCUUUGUAGACCUCAAUUCCAUUGUUUGCCCUUCAAAUAUUGGCUCUGUCCUUGACUCUCCUCUUUUUGUCAACCAGAAUUUCAUUAUCUAUUUUUUUUAGUGACCAUACAUCCCUUGGCUGUGUUUCUCUAGUUCCUGUGUCCAUCCAGGCUCUGCCAUGGUCUGUUAGAGUUCUACCUGUUGUCUUCCUUUACAAAGCACCAAAGGCGUGUGUUGAGUGCAGAGUUUGACAGAGAGAGGUAGUCAAGGUCAGAGGAGAG